rnacentral:rRNA from 1 species
UGGAUGGAGGGUUUGAUCCUGGCUCAGGGUGAACGCUGGCGGCGUGCCUGACACAUGCAAGUCGUACGGGCGGACCCCCUUCGGGGGGCGAGCCAGUGGCGAACGGGUGAGUAACACGUGGGAACAUAUCCGCUGGUGGGGGAUAACUACCCGAAAGGGUAGCUAAUACCGCAUAAGCCCGAAAGGGGAAAGGUGCAACAGCAUCGCCAGUGGAGUGGCCCGCGGCCCAUCAGCUAGUUGGUGGGGUAAGAGCCCACCAAGGCGACGACGGGUAGCCGGCGUGAGAGCGCGACCGGCCACAAGGACACUGAGACACGGGUCCUACUCCUACGGGAGGCAGCAGUGCGGAAUAUUGGACAAUGGGCGAAAGCCUGAUCCAGCGACGCCGCGUGCGGGACGAAGGCCUUCGGGUCGUAAACCGCUGUGGUAAGGGACGAAUAGCCGGUGGAGUGGAAAGCCACCGGAGGAGACGGUACCUUACUAGGAAGCCCCGGCUAACUACGUGCCAGCAGCCGCGGUAAUACGUAGGGGGCGAGCGUUACCCGGAAUCACUGGGCGUAAAGGGAGCGUAGGCGGCCCAGCAAGUCGACUGUGAAAAACCGGAGCUCAACUUCGGUCCUGCGGUCGAAACUGCUGGGCUUGAGGACAGUAGAGGGAGACGGAACUGCCGGUGUAGGGGUAAAAUCCUUAGAUAUCGGCAGGAACGCCGGUGGCGAAGGCGGUCUCCUGGGCUGGACCUGACGCUGAGGCUCGAAAGCCAGGGGAGCGAACGGGAUUAGAUACCCCGGUAGUCCUGGCCCUAAACGAUGCUCACUAGGUGUGGGGUGCGUAGAGCACUCCGUGCUGAAGCAAACGCGAUAAGUGAGCCGCCUGGGGAGUACGCCCGCAAGGGUGAAACUCAAAGGAAUUGACGGGGGCCCGCACAAGCGGUGGAGCGUGUGGUUUAAUUCGAUGCUAAGCGAAGGACCUUACCAGGGCUUGACAUGCUGGUGGUACUGAACCGAAAGGGGAAGGACCCACCGUUAGGUGGGAGCCAGCACAGGUGGUGCACGGCCGUCGUCAGCUCGUGCCGUGAGGUGUUGGGUUAAGUCCCGCAACGAGCGCAACCCCUGCCCCUAGUUGCCAGCGGUUAGGCCGGGCACUCUAGGGGGACCGCCGCCGACGAGGCGGAGGAAGGGGGGGAUGACGUCAGGUAUCGUGCCCCUUAUGUCCUGGGCGACACACGCGCUACAAUGGGACGGACAGCGGGGAGCGAGGCAGCGAUGCUGAGCAAAUCCCUGAAACCGUUCCUCAGUUCGGAUUGCAGGCUGCAACCCGCCUGCAUGAAGCCGGAAUCGCUAGUAAUCGCGGAUCAGCCAUGCCGCGGUGAAUACGUUCCCGGGCCUUGUACACACCGCCCGUCAAGCCACCCGAGUUGGCAACACCUGAAGACGGGUGUCCCAACCGAAAGGAGGGAGCCCGUUUAAGGUGGGGCUGGCGAGGGGGGCUAAGUCGUAACAAGGUAGCCCUACCGGAAGGUGGGGCUGGAUCACCUCCUUUCUAAGGA